AUAAGAUGUGCUCCAGCAUGAUUACAAAACAUGUUUCUAAGCUUAUGAUGAAUUUUAAUUUCAACAAAAAUUUAUUUGUUUUCUAAUUUAAAUGCUCACAAAAAAAUAUUCAAAUAAAUCAAAUUAAAAUCCUAUUUCUUGAAAAUCAGAUUUCGGGUGUUACAAUCACAAUAUAUAACUAAUCACCCAUAAAAAUAAUCCUCUGCAUGAGGCGGUUUGUAAGAUGGACUACUUGAAGAAACUGAGCUCAACGAGAUCUAAAAGUAUAUAGUUAAUAUUUUUUUUUUAUUUUAAGGCAUUUGGGUGGAGCCGGUUGCAAAUUAAAAACUGCUUUUGCAAAUCAAAUUUGACUACUGUUUCUAAAAAUGCUUUGUGUAGUAAUGUAUAACGCUUUCAUAUAUAUAAUGUCACUAUCACUAUGCAAACCCUUUGACAAGAGUACUCCGAAAUACUAUGGUGCACAUAUCAUUUUCCACAUCCGAUGGGUGCAUAGUAUUUGUAUGUGAGGCGUAUACAUACAUACUCCCUCCGUCUAAAAAAAUAACAUUUUUUUUUAUUUUUAGACAUCAUUUUGACCGUUCAUUUAUUUUGGUAAAUUAUAAAAUAAAUAAAUUAAUAAAGUGUUUUUAGUGAUAAAAUAAGUUUUAACAAAAUAUAUAAUAUUGAAGUAAAAAAGUUGAAUAAGACAAAUGAUUAAAUAAGAUGUCUGAAUAAAAUUUUAAAACAACACUUUUUUGAACGAGGGAGUAAAUGGUCCCUGCCAUCAAAAAGUCAAGAGACGCGUACUGUUUGUGUCUCUAUAUAUAUGUACAGUCACGUGAUUAGCGUUUAGAGUACACAGAGAGUCACUG
rnacentral:lncRNA from 1 species